rnacentral:rRNA from 1 species
CAGCCGCCGCGGUAACACGGAGGGUGCAAGCGUUAAUCGGAAUUACUGGGCGUAAAGCGCACGCAGGCGGUCUGUCAAGUCAGAUGUGAAAUCCCCGGGCUUAACCUGGGAACUGCAUUUGAAACUGGCAGGCUAGAGUCUUGUAGAGGGGGGUAGAAUUCCAGGUGUAGCGGUGAAAUGCGUAGAGAUCUGGAGGAAUACCGGUGGCGAAGGCGGCCCCCUGGACAAAGACUGACGCUCAGGUGCGAAAGCGUGGGGAGCAAACAGGAUUAGAUACCCCUGUAGUCCCUGUCUCUUAUAC